AGUGGCGGACGGGUGAGUAACGCGUGGGCAACCUGCCCCAUACAGGGGGAUAACAGUUAGAAAUGACUGCUAACACCGCAUAAGCGCACAGGGCCGCAUGGUCCGGUGUGAAAAACUCCGGUGGUAUGGGAUGGGCCCGCGUCUGAUUAGCCAGUUGGCGGGGUAACGGCCCACCAAAGCGACGAUCAGUAGCCGACCUGAGAGGGUGACCGGCCACAUUGGGACUGAGACACGGCCCAAACUCCUACGGGAGGCAGCAG
rnacentral:rRNA from 1 species